GGAAUUCAGAGGAUCAGCAGCAGUUGGAAUCUGCAAGGGAGAUCUUGGAUAUUGUUCCCCAAGUGAUCUUCCACAGUAAACAGUUGGUGAAUGACCUUGGUUCAGCACCUGCCACCACAGUUGUAGAACAAGAGACAGUGGGAAUACAAUCAGAGGGAAGGGCUCCACUUUGGAACCUGGGUACCAGAAUAGCUUUUUGGCUCUAAGCCAUGAUCCACACUAUCAAGUUCCCAGAAUGGAUGAGAAACUGGCAGAGAGGCAAGAUCUACAGGUGAUGAGGGACUUCAAUGAGCAGGACAUCUGCUGGAAGUCUCUUGCAGAACAUCUGAUGAAUUCUUGCUUGGUCUGGCUGACAACUUCAUCCCUCAGUAGGUAGAAAAAAGAAUAAAGAGAAACUGCUAUUCACGAAUUAAUUGUGACCAGUAAAGAAGGCCUGGAUAAUGAUAUGUAUGUAAUAGAAAAGAGAGAAAAAUGAUUCUGGCAUUUUUAAUAACUACUAAUAAGUUACAGUGUUACAUAAUUAUUAUAUAACCCUUAUAAUAAUUAUAACACUUUUAUUAAUGAAAUAUGGCAAUCACCUCUAUUCCUUUUGAG
rnacentral:lncRNA from 1 species